AAUCCAACGUUUCGUGAUUAACUCCUUACUUGGUAGGACAACCAAAUUAAAACGAUUUGUUUCUUCUGUGUUAGGUAAUUUAACACGUGUCAGAAUAAAUUAAAUUAAAUAUGUGGGAUCGGUGAGUGAGUGCAAAUGUUAUAAUUGAUGAGUGAGUAAAAGACACGAUGUUUAUUAUCACGAACAAUGUUUAUUAAGAAGUCUUGAAGAAGUAUAGUUAAGAAGUAUUGUAGAGAAGAAUAGUUAAGAACUGUAUUAAGAACUGUAGUGUUUGAAGUAAUGUCAAGAACUCUCCUUCCUAAACCCUUGUCACCCACCAGCAACCCUUCAGGUUGAUGGGUGGUGACAAGAAAUUUGGAAGUAGGAAGAAAGUAAUAGAUUGGAUUGGUAGAAGAAAGUGUAUGACAUUGAAGAGAGGGAAAGCUGACCAUUGGAUUCUGGGAAUCCGAGUCGUGCCAAACCGUCCGACUCGGGGAUUAGGUUUUUCAAGGUAAUAAAAGAUAUUAGGAAAUUUGGGAAUUUUGGAUGAAGAAUUACGGUAUACAAUAAAGAUGAAGAAAGUUAUAAAGUUUUGAAAUACAGAAAUAA